CUAGAUCAGUGUUUCUCACAUUUUUCAAUAUUGUACCCCCUUUGAAUUACUUUUUAAGCCAAGUACCCCCUGACCAGUGCAAAACACUACAGGAACAAUACAGCG